CACUUUAAAGAAAGUCGAUUAAAGGGAUGAAAUAAUAAAAAAAAGACUCAACACAACCGGAGAACCUGAUUGCAAUGGGAGAGACCCUCUCUACAAUUAUUUUUCAAUAUACAAAGCUUUCAUUUCAAACCUAACGUCAAGUAAUAACAUUAACACAACAAUAACUUAGCCUCAGACUGUGGAAACAACGGUGACAAUUGGAAGGUUGAGAAGUGUCAAGAACACUAACAUGUUCACGUGACCCAUACAAGGCAAACCAUUUUCCAAGACAUAACAGUAAGCAGCACAAUGACUCUUGUCCGUUUCCAAGUAAAUAUUCAGAAACCUGAAAUAAAUGUAGAAGAUUCUCAGAGUAAACCUUUACUAAAAACGAGGACAUUUGUUACAAAAUAAUGAGAAUCAAACCCAAAAUAAGACAUAUAUAGCACAAGUUCUCUUGAAUGUUUUUACAAACACAGAUCAUUGAAACGGCAACAUUCUGGGGUUGUUUUAACUUUUAAGUAACUUGACUGAACUUUAAUUACGUAUAAGAAGACAUGCUACAGGACAAA
rnacentral:lncRNA from 1 species